rnacentral:rRNA from 1 species
GACGAACGCUGGCGGCGUGGAUUAGGCAUGCAAGUCGAACGGUAUGGACCUUUCGGGGUUCAGAGAGUGGCGAACGGGUGAGUAACACGUAGGUAAUCUACCCUCAAGACGGGGACAACCCAGGGAAACUUGGGCUAAUACCGGAUGUGUGUAGUGGCUAUUUUUCUGAUUAUCAUUAUUUACGUAAGUGAGUAAUAAUAAGAAGGGAAAGUGGUUAUUACAUAAAAGGUGGCGUAAGCUGCCGCUUGGGGAUGAGCCUGCGUCCUAUUAGUUAGUUGGUGAGGUAACGGCUUACCAAGGCGAUGAUAGGUAGGCGGCCUUAACGGGUGGUCGCCCACACUGGGAUUGAGAUACGGCCCAGACUCCUACGGGAGGCAGCAGUCGAGAAUAGUCUACAAUGGACGGAAGUCUGAUAGUGCGACGCCGCGUGAACGAAGAAUCCCUUCGGGGUGUAAAGUUCUUUUAUUACGUGAGCAGUGUCCUUUAUAUUAAUAGUAUAAGGGGAGAGAUAUUAGCGUAUGAAUAAGCAACGGA